AGAGUUUGAUCAUGGCUCAGAAUCAACGCUGGCGGCGUGCCUAACACAUGCAAGUCGAACGCGAAAGUCCCGCAAGGGAUGAGUAGAGUGGCAAACGGGUGAGUAACACGUGGGUGACCUGCCUUCGAGCGGGGGAUAACGCCCCGAAAGGGACGCUAAUACCGCAUAACAUCCUGCCUUUCAAGAGGUGGAGAUCAAAGCCGGGGAUCGCAAGACCUGGCGCUCGAAGAGGGGCCCGCGUCCGAUUAGCUAGUUGGUGGGGUAACGGCUCACCAAGGCAACGAUCGGUAGCCGGCCUGAGAGGGCGGACGGCCACACUGGGACUGAGACACGGCCCAGACUCCUACGGGAGGCAGCAGUGGGGAAUUGUUCGCAAUGGGCGCAAGCCUGACGACGCAACGCCGCGUGGAGGAUGAAGACCUUCGGGUCGUAAACUCCUUUCGAUCGAGACGAAUUCCUCCGGGGUGAACAAUCCCGGGGGUUGACGGUACCGAGAGAAGAAGCCCCGGCUAACUCCGUGCCAGCAGCCGCGGUAAUACGGGGGGGGCAAGCGUUGUUCGGAAUUACUGGGCGUAAAGGGCUCGUAGGCGGCCGACUAAGUCAGACGUGAAAUCCCUCGGCUUAACCGGGGAAUUGCGUCUGAUACUGGACGGCUUGAGUUUGGGAGAGGGAUGCGGAAUUCCAGGUGUAGCGGUGAAAUGCGUAGAUAUCUGGAGGAACACCGGUGGCGAAGGCGGCAUCCUGGACCAACACUGACGCUGAGGAGCGAAAGCCAGGGGAGCAAACGGGAUUAGAUACCCUAGUAGUCC
rnacentral:rRNA from 1 species